rnacentral:rRNA from 1 species
GACGAACGCUGGCGGCGUGCCUAAUACAUGCAAGUAGAACGCACAGUUUAUACCGUAGCUUGCUACACCAUAGACUGUGAGUUGCGAACGGGUGAGUAACGCGUAGGUAACCUGCCUGGUAGCGGGGGAUAACUAUUGGAAACGAUAGCUAAUACCGCAUAAUAUUAAUUAUUGCAUGAUAAUUAAUUGAAAGGUGCAAUUGCACCACUACCAGAUGGACCUGCGUUGUAUUAGCUAGUAGGUGAGGUAACGGCUCACCUAGGCGACGAUACAUAGCCGACCUGAGAGGGUGAUCGGCCACACUGGGACUGAGACACGGCCCAGACUCCUACGGGAGGCAGCAGUAGGGAAUCUUCGGCAAUGGACGAAAGUCUGACCGAGCAACGCCGCGUGAGUGAAGAAGGUUUUCGGAUCGUAAAGCUCUGUUGUAAGAGAAGAACGGGUGUGAGAGUGGAAAGUUCACACUGUGACGGUAGCUUAACAGAAAGGGACGGCUAACUACGUG